ensembl:misc_RNA Metazoa_SRP Metazoan signal recognition particle RNA
GCUGGGCGUGGUGGCGUGCGCCUCUAAUCCCAGCGGCUUGGGAGGCUGAGGCAGGAGAAUCGCUUGAACCCAGGAGGUAGAAGUUGCAGUGAGCCGAGACGGUGCCACUACACUCCAGCCUGGGUGACAAAGCGAGACCCUGUCUCAA